rnacentral:antisense_RNA from 1 species
AAAUCUGAGACAGCCUUGGUCUGAGGGAGAAAAGACAGAGAAUUCAUGUGCUGCCCAGGCAUAGCCACAUAGCAGGUGGACAUCCCUGGACACUUUUCUGACAAAGCAUGCAAUGUGGGGACAACACGGAAAUCCAAGAAAGGCAAGACCAAUUUCAAGGCACUAAAUAAGUGGACUGAGAUAAGAAGUACACAGAUACUUCCCAGAACAAAACCCUCAUUGGAUUUUCCUGGAAGUAUGGAGAGUUACAUCCAGAGAACUCUGAACAUUUUGGAAGAACCCCAAUCCUGCAAACAAUGAAUGGCAAUAAAUCCUGGGACUGGAAAGGGGCUUCUCAACCCCAAGGGCAACCAUAAAGUCCUAUACAAAGAAAGAUACAGCAGUGUGAAAGAGGCCUGGAUGGAAAAACAAAGACAGAGCCAGUGAGCCAGAGCCAGAGCCAGAGAACAAGAGAGAAAGGCAGAGAAUGGAAAACACAGACAGAGAAGGCAGAUGCAUAGAAAGACAGAGAUUCAAUGAGAAAAUAAGGAAGGAAGAAAGAAAGAAAACAAAAACGUUCUCAGCACUACAACUUCUGCCUUGUUCUGUUCCAGAACAGUAUGAGCUCAGUACUUUUUCAGUCUCUCAAUUUUCUACAACUAA